UACGUAGGGUCCGAGCGUUGUCCGGAAUUAUUGGGCGUAAAGAGCUCGUAGGCGGUUUGUCGCGUCUGCUGUGAAAUCCCGAGGCUCAACCUCGGGCCUGCAGUGGGUACGGGCAGACUGGAGUGCGGUAGGGGAGAAUGGAAUUCCUGGUGUAGCGGUGGAAUGCGCAGAUAUCAGGAGGAACACCGAUGGCGAAGGUAGUUCUCUGGGCCGUAACUGACGCUGAGGAGCGAAAGCGUGGGGAGCGAACAGG
rnacentral:rRNA from 1 species